UCCAUCAAGCUAGGCAUCAAAAGAUCAUGAAAAAAACAUGAACAGAAGACUUUGCUGUGCUACCAAUGCCAUUGCCAAUCGGAUUGUCAUAUAACUUUGUCUUUACAUUUUCUGUGGGGUGAGAGCUGCUUUCUUCUAAAUAAUGCAAUCACAAGUGUGUGUGGGUAACUUGUUCUUCUGUGGCAGCUAGUUAAGCUGUCGAAUCGGAGACGAAGAUUUACGGUUGCUGCUAUAGCUAUGGAGCAGAAUUAAUGGAAUUACUGCUUUUAAGACCAGUGGCGAAGCUACAGAGGCGCAAGGAGGUGCGGCUGCAAUUUUAAUGGAGUAGGCUGUUUCUUUUGGUUUCAGGCACAAAAAUCUGUUUUUCUGUUUUGUUUUUUCUUAUAGUUUUGGAUUGGGUUUCCAGCCGCAGACUUGAGCGUAACUAAGUUGGCUUGAGCAAUUUACCCCCUAUGCAUUCAAGUUCGAAUUCCCCACUCAUAAGUUCAGAUAAAUUUAGUGUAGACUAUCGCUCGAAUUAGAAAACAAGGACGUUUUUGGACCGAGUCUGAUUCUUGCCAAACACUUGCACAAAUUGAUUUUGGAAUUUCAAUAGAGGAAAUCCUUCUUCCUGUGUAAAAUUUAGAGAUAGGGGAUGAGGGGGCCGUUCUAUUGGAGAGUUAGCCCUUUCUAAUCGUCUGAGCGGGAAGGAAGUAGCUACUUGUAGUUGAUGGUUAAUCCUGGGGUCUUGGUUAUUUCUUUCCGCCUUGUGUGGGUUUAGAGAGUAAGGCUUCUACUAUUGUAGUCACACCAAGCCUUAUGGGUGGUUCGAUAAAAAAAAAUCUUUUCCAUUUUCGGGUUUUCGUUUAUUCAUGUUGAUUUCAGCAGAGUUUUGGUUUUGAAACAUCCUUACAACCAACACCAGAAUGUUAAAAGUUACUUUCAUGUCUUCCUUUUCAGCUUGAGGUUUCAAGCAUUCAAAAUGUAUGUGCAAAGACAAACUUACACAAGAAGAAAUAUUAGCUGCGUCUGAAUUAGCAGCAACAAUCAUAUGUUUGAUUACUCUCGUUAAUUAGUUCGUAGCGUAUCCAUACCAAAUUCCCGAAAUCAGCUUUGUAGAGGGGAGAGGAAAGCGAAAACCUAGUGACCGGAGACUAUGAACAAGACUGGUUCGGAAAGGCCGAAGCCAUGGAACGGAUAUACUACAAGUACAGACCCUAGCCCGUCUCAAGCAGGAGGGAUCGAUCGACAAGUGCAAUGGCAAAGCUACGGAACAUCAUCCAUGAGCGCGAUUUCUUAUGGUUUUGUAGCCACGGCUAUCUUGGUUUCCAUGUUUCUUAUCAUGGCCAUCUUUGAACAUUUGUUUAGGCCAAGUCCUAAUCCCUUCUCCACACCUCAAUCUCUCCCUCGUGCUUCUCUAGAGUCUGCACAUUUCGACAAGCAUGGAAGAAUUAAUCGACAAACUGUUUCGACAUUGUGUGCGCCGGAUUUCUCAGUAGUGAUGCCGGGAGAGCAGUGUCCGACCUACAUUGCGCAACGGGCUCCUCUCCCGACGUGCUCCAGGGAAGGGGUGCAUUGGCCUUCCCAUGAACAUAAUAAAUUUGUACUUCCUCCUUAGGAUGAUUGUAGAGGAUGAUACUUUCACCGAGGCAUUGAAUUAUGGUACUGAGAGAGGGUGUUUGUAUAUUAGUUUUACCAAAUCAUGAUGUUUCUUCACCAUAUAAUAAUCAACAAUUGACUACUUGGGGUUUACAAUUGUCAAAAAUCAAAUA